rnacentral:rRNA from 1 species
GUGAGGAAUUUUCCGCAAUGGGCGAAAGCCUGACGGAGCAAUGUCGCGUGAAGGAUGAAGGCCUAUGGGUUGUAAACUUCUUUUCUCAGAAAAGAAUUAUGACGGUAUCUGAGGAAUAAGCAUCGGCUAACUCUGUGCCAGCAGCCGCGGUAAGACAGAGGAUGCAAGCGUUAUCCGGAAUGAUUGGGCGUAAAGCGUCUGUAGGUUGUUUAAAAAGUAUUCUGUCAAAGAUUAGGGCUUAACCCUAGAUAGGCAGAAUAAACUUUUAAGCUAGAGUUUGGUAGAGGCAGAGGGAAUUCCCGGUGGAGCGGUGAAAUGCGUAGAUAUCGGGAGGAACACCAAAGGCGAAGGCACUCUGCUGGGCCAAUACUAACACUGAGAGACGAAAGCGAGGGGAGCAAAUGGGAUUAGAUACCCUUGUAGUCC